rnacentral:rRNA from 1 species
GACAGAGGCCCCGAGCGUUAGGCGGAAUCACUGGGCUUAAAGCGUGUGUAGGCGGAUCGUUAAGUGUCUUGUGAAAUCCCACGGCUCACCCGUGGAACCGCUGGGCAUACUGGCGAUCUCGGGCCAUUCAGGGGCGACUGGAACAAGCGGUGGAGCGGUGAAAUGCGUAGAUAUCGCUUGGAACGCCGAAGGUGAAAACAGGUCGCUGGGGAUGUGCCGACGCUGAGACACGAAGCCAGGGGAGCAAACGGG